CAAGUACUACCUCCGUCCGGAAAUACUUGUCAAAGAAAUAGAUGUAUCUAGACAUAGUUUAAUUCUAGAUACAUCCAUUUUUAUUCAUUUCGGUGACAAGUAUUUCUGGACGGAGGGAGUAUAUG
rfam:Triticum aestivum genome assembly, contig: Triticum_aestivum_CS42_TGACv1_scaffold_290182_4AL